rnacentral:rRNA from 1 species
UGGGGAAUCUUGCGCAAUGCGCGAAAGCGUGACGCAGCAACGCCGCGUGGGGGAAGACGGCCUUCGGGUUGUAAACCCCUUUCAGGAGGGACGAAGGUUCACCGGUGAAUAGCCGUGUGGAUUGACGGUACCUCCAGAAGAAGCUCCGGCUAACUACGUGCCAGCAGCCGCGGUAAUACGUAGGGAGCAAGCGUUGUCCGGAAUCAUUGGGCGUAAAGCGCGCGUAGGCGGCCCCGUAAGUCCGCUGUGAAAGUCAAAGGCUCAACCUUUGAAAGCCGGUGGAUACUGUGGGGCUAGAGUCCGGAAGAGGCGAGUGGAAUUCCUGGUGUAGCGGUGGAAUGCGCAGAUAUCAGGAGGAACACCAAUAGCGAAGGCAGCUCGCUGGGACGGUACUGACGCUAAGGCGCGAAAGCGUUGGGAGCGAACAGG